UCUCCCUGGCUUGUUUUGCAGUGGACCUCUUGAAAUGCUACACCUGCACUGACUUGACAGAUGAAUCUAAUUGUAAAGAUAUAACAGUCUGUGGGUAUGGUGACAAGUUCUGUAAAACCACUUACAAACUAACUGGAACUGUUGUCACCGUCAGCAAGGGAUGUGCAUCAACUUGUACUGUAACAACAGCUUUCCCGCGAGAUGAGUGCUGUGAGGGAGAACUCUGUAACGAUAAAUUGAUUUGCUUCAAAUGUGCUGAAACAACCGAUGAAAGUUCCUGUACUUCGAGUCCAUGUGCAGCUGAAGCAUUCUGCAAGAGUGACUACAAACUGAACGGGGCAGGUAAGAGCUUCUCCUUCAUUUGGGGUUUCUAUUCUUUGUGUUUCCAGUUUGGUGCUUGUGAAUUCCAGCUGGUGAACGGAGGCCGUUGAGAGCAGUUGUGUUCAUGUCUAAGGAGUCCAUUCCUAGCAAUCCUUUUCGUAAUCCUCAAAUCUAACAUCACAUACACCUCACUGCUUCAUUGCUACUUUGC